CUCUUUCUCUCCUGGGUAUCUCUCCCUCUCUCGUGUCUCCCCCUCCCUUCUCUCCUGGGUAUCUCUCCCUCUCUCCUUUCUCCCCCUUUCUCUCCUGGGUAUCUCUCCCUCUCUCCUGUCUCUCCCUCUUAUCUCUCCUGGGCAUCUUUCUCUCUCUCUCUCUCUUCUAUCUCUCCCUCUCCUGUCUCUCCUGGAUAUUUCACCCUCUUCAGCCUCUCCUAGGUACCUCCCCACUCUCUCCUGUCUCGCUCUCUCCCCCCUCUCUCCUUUCAAUGCCCCUCUCUCUUCCUCUCUCCUUUCAAUGCCUAUCUCUCUCUCUCUCUCUCCUGCCUUUCUGUCUGUCUAUGGUGCUGAGAUCCCGACAGCUUGGCACAUGCGUAAAAGCAGCAGCGUCCCCCAAAGUCCCAGCAACACACAAAUCAAAACACACACACACACACACACACACAGAGAGAGAGACUGGGAGAGAGAGAGAGAGAGAGGGGCUUUGUGUAGCCGUGUCCUCCUGCACACACCAUUGCAUCUUACCUGGAACAUGGAACAUCAGGGAGUAGUGCGGCUGGCCUCUCGCUCAGACAGUCUCGGUGUGCUGUGCUCGCUAACACGGGAGAGAACUGCAAACAGCCGUCUUCCAAUAGCUGGCUUAAGGCAAGGAUGCCCUGAGGCCCGGUACAUUGGCGGGACCAUGCAGAUGCUGCAAUAACAGAUGAAUGGACACUGCACAACAGUCACUAGACGGGGAUGUUCCUUCCCAGUCGGGGAACACUUCAGCGGCCAAGGACAUUCAGGCUCCGAUCUUCAGCAAUGAUUCAAUAAAGCAGCUUUCCUUCUGAAUGGAUCACAUAUGCAGGCAGAUCCACUGACACUCACAUCUCCAUGGAUCAAGAAUAUAAGUGGUGGGAAAGAAAGAGAUUCUCCAGGUAAUAAAUUCUACUGACAAGACAGUAUAGCAGUGAAGCUUCAAAACCUCAAUACAAUUCUUCCAGUUUUGUUGAUGUGACCUGAAGACUCUAGAUUAGGAGUCAAUUCCAGCCCCAGGCAAAAUGCAGUUGAGUGCCAACAUAUCUGUUUGUAAAAUAAAGCAAUGUUCGGGAGAAUUAGCUAACUCUUUCAUAUGCCAUUGAUUUUGUGAUUCGGUGUAUUGCU